GUAGACACCCCAAAGAGGUCGAAUGGCAUAGCAAGCUCAGGCUGAACUAUCUACUCGAUCUGGCUCAUACUCAUCACGAGCAUCUCGUCAAUGUACUCGUCAUGUGGAACAGCUCCAUCAACUAUGUCUCCGAUCUCGGCAAAUAUCUCGUGCUCAUCGAUCUUAUCCGGGAAAUAAAACGUCAUAAGGCUCAUACGAUCAGGAGAUGACGGGACGACCAACGUAGAUGCCAAAGUGUCAGG
rnacentral:lncRNA from 1 species